CUGAACCAGAGUUUGCCAAGCCCUGGAUCAGCAUCUGCAGCAGGCGGGCUCCUGGAUGAUUCAGCGUAGCCAGAAACGGGACCAGGCUCGGUGCCCUCGUCUCUGCCACAGGCAAUAUUGUCAUUUCCUAAUUCACUGGGCUGAUGGUUGUGAGGAAGAAAUGAAGUCAUGUGUGAAGGAGUGUUUUAUAGACAUUAAUUUAACCAAGAUAGUGUGCCAGAAUUUCCAAAACAUACCAUAUUCUAAAGAUUCUUGGUUUGUACAUUUUUUCAGCUUUAUUGAGAUAUAGUAGACAUGAAACAUUGUGUAAGUUUGUGUAACAUUGUAUAGACAGAGUGUAUGAUGUGUUGAUUUGACACAUUUCUAUACUGCAAAAUGAUUCCCAUCUUAGCAUCCAGCUCCAUCCCAUCACGAUUACUUUUUUUUUUGUGAUAAGAACAUUUAAGAAUUACUCUGUUAGGAACAUUCAAGUAUACAAUACAGUAUCAUUAGCUAUAAUCACCAUGCUGUCCACUAGAUCCCCAGAACUUGUUAAUCUUAUACGUUAUUUCAGCAGAUGAAGACGGUUCUGUUUUCGAGGAUUGCAUAUGUAAAACAUUAUUGUGUAGAAGAGAUUUGACAUUUAAUUUAUCUAAUUUAUUUUUCAAAUUACUAUUGAUUGGGUUCCCUGUUCUCGUGGACAAUUUAGAAAACACAGCCACAAAUAAAAUCCUCUUUCUUUCAAUCCCACCAUUCUUGCAAAUACUGUGUAAUCAGGUGCGGGACACCUGCCCGCGCCUGUGAGCGUCUGAUCGUCUUUCCCAGUGAAUUCGGUCUCACCUCCUGCUGAGCACGCCGGUUCAACACUGGAGGAUUAGAUUUCUGUCCUCGACCGGGUCCCGCUCACCUCGGGAGAAGCAGGAUAAAUGAUCAGCCUCGGGCGGGUGUGCAGCUGUGGACCAGAGCGCAGCCCGGUGACCCGAGCGCGCGGGGCCCUCGCUGGGCGCCCCCUCCCUCUCCCCGCGCCGCCUCCAGCGCGAGUGACAACGCGCCCUCCGGGCUCGGGAGCGGCGGCGUCGGACGACCCUGGGCAGGGCUCGCCUCUAGGGGGCAUCAGUCCUAGAGCUGAUUCCACGCUCCCAGCUCCUGGUUUUGUGAGACGUCGGUCGGUUAGUCCGUUUGUCUGUCCGCCCUGGAGAGGACUCAUCGCCGGCCUGGGACAGAACCGAGCACCAAAAAGUGACCGAAUCCAGAGGAGGCAAGAGAUUGAGGCAGCGAGGGAAGGAGGCCCCGGCAGGCGACAGCAUGCAGUUCAGCCCGGCGCUGUACCUGCCGCCUCUGCUGCCGGCGCUGGUCCUCAGCACCAGAUUUACCCAUGGUGCUGCAUAAACCAGUGAGCAGCUCAUGUCUUUUUAUCACAAAUCCUCCGUUGUAUCGAUACACAACAAUUUAUUUAUUCACUCACCGGUUGAUGGACAUUUCGUUGUUUCCAGUUGUUGGCUGUUGUGAAUAAAUUUGCUAUGGAUAUGUUCAUUCAAAGUCUUUUGGUGAACUCAGGUUUUCAACUUCCUUGGAUUCUCCCUUUUAGUGUUCUAAAGUUUGCUAUUGAGUUUGGAAAGGUCUCAACUUAGGAAAAAGAUGGCAGAUGAAAGAAAGCAAGACCACAUAUGAAAGGUGAAGAUAAUGAGCAUCUGGGAAAGGUGAGGCUGAGGAGGUGAUGGAAUUGCUCUGAUCCAGGAAAUGAAGUCAACAGAAAACUGAAACUAUAUUCAGGAAAAAUAAAGACCUUGGAUUGUGGCACCAGGCUUUGAUAUUUUCCUUAAAGUCAGGAGGAGAAAACCUAGAACAGUGGUUCAGUCUGGCUGACUUUAGAAUCGCCUGGAAAGCUUUAAAGGUAAAUUCACUUUCCCAGGCAUCACCUCUGACUGAAUAAAUAUAAAUUUCAUUUGUAGAGCUCAGUAAUAUAUAUGUCUUAAGAUUAACGUCACUUGGUGAUCAUUAUGCUAAGUCAGUUUGGGGAGCUAAUAUUUUGGAGAUCAUUUCAUCUCAAUUGACGUGCACACUCUGUCUCAUAAACUAUUCAUAAACUAUGCAUAAAUACACAUUCAAAUAUACACAUAUUAUUACAAUGACAAAUGUCAUAUAAUAAGAUUUGGUCUUAGUGAGUCAUACAGCAGGGUGCAACUACUACGAGGAAGUAAAAGGCAUAGCAUCCUGUUAAGCUUGCAUCGAACUGCAACAUAUGUUUCCUGGAAUGUGAAAAACUAUUGUUUUACCAGUAUAUGAGAGUGUGAUAUGGAGAGCAAAGAAUUCUACAUAGAUACAAGCCAAAGGUCAACCAAGUAAAUAAUGUACUCAUUAUGAAUGCUUUCAGAGACAUUGGAAGAUGUCAUUCUACUGUAAGUACUGACGACAUUGCAAUGAUGUCUGACUUGUUUGAUGUUGUUAUGAGUGCUUUGAUUGGGACUGCAUUGACUCUGUAGAUGAGUUUGGGAAGAAUUGACAUCUUGACAACCUUGAGUCUUCCUAUGCAUGAACUCUGGAUGUCAAUGAACUGUGGAUUAUCUCUCCAUUUAUUUAGUUCUCCUUUGAUUUCAUUCACCAGAGUUUUGUGGUUUUUCUCCUAUAGAUCUUGUAUAUAUUUUGCCAAAUUUAUACCUAAGUAUUUCAGUUUUUGGAUGCUAAUGUAAAUGACAUUGCAUUUUUAAUUUCUUAUUAUACCUGUUCAUUGCUGGUAUGCAGGAAAGUGGUUGACUUUUGUGUAUUAACCUUAUAUUCUGUAACCUUGCUAUAAUAACUUCUUAGUUCCAGGAGAUUUUUUUAAUCGAUUUUUUCAAAUUUUCUACAUUGAUGAUCAUGUCAUCUACAAACAAAGACAGUUUUAGGUCUUGCUUCCAAACCUCUAUACCUUUUUUUUUUCUCCUUUUUGUGUCUUAUUGCAUUAGCUAGAACUUCCAGUACAAUGUCAGAAUGGAGUGGUGAGAGCAGACAUCCGGUCUGGUUCCUGAUCUUAAUGAUAAAGCUUUGAGUUUCUGACCAUGAAGUAUGGUGGUAACUGUGGAUUUUUACAGAUGCUGUUUCUCAAGUUGAACAAGUUCCCUGGUUAUAAGGGCUUUAAUCUCUUCAAGUGUGCACCUAAAGAGUCUGUUGUUGGGAGACAGUUUUUGAAUAUAAGGUGUUGCUCUAGUCCGGAGCCCUUCAUCUUAGGGCGCAGAAGACUGAGGUUCAGAGUUUUUGAGACUUCUCCAAGGCCACAGAAGGAACUCGAAACUAGAACCCAGAACUUUCUACAAAAUGUGUUCUUUUCUAUCACGUGACUACUCUCCAUGACAUAUAUCUUCUGUUAUCAACCACUGUGUAUAUAGUUGGUAUCUACAAGGUAUCCAGAACUAUUCUAGUCAUUACGGCAUGUAAAGUAAUUGAAAAACUAAUUCUCUGACUAUAUGGAAUAACUGGAUAGAACAAAGUUAGAAGUUAAUUUCCACUUGUUGGCUUGAAUUCAGUUGAUCCGUGAAGACUGAGUUGCCCUAAAAUUGAUUCUAGGUCAUUUUAGAAACCCAAAGCAGAAACAUUAAUGAAUUCUCACCAUUAAAAUUGUUUUCCUUUCAAGAAUGCAACUAUAGUGGUUCUUAUUGACCUUUUAGUUGGAGUUUUAAAUGAUAUUUUGGUACGUUUAAGAGCUAGCUAUUCACUGAAAUUAUUUCCUGAAACAACAGUUCACAACUGUUUGCUCAUAUUCCUAACCUACGAAAUCCACGUUGCCAAUUUGUGGGAUUGCUCAACAGGCAGCCUACUAUCUGGCAAGGAUUAUGGAAUAAUCCUUGAAUAAGUGGAAAAGAAUAAACAUAUUCUUGUUCAGCUUUAAUACAAGGCUUAAUUGAAUUUUUUUGCUUUAUAUGUAUAUUUCUCUUUAGGCAGAGAGAUGGUGCCUUAAGAAAAGGCAGAGGUGAAAGGAUUGAAUCUUUAUACAAUUUGACAAGGCUGGAGGACUAGCUGGUUUGGGUCAGAACAGCAUAUGGUGGCAUGAACCUUGCAGAUUUUGCCCUUCUCCACCCUGUGAUCUUCAUUCACCCCUGGUGUUAUGGUUGUGAAUAUGUUACUUUAUGUGGCAAAAGAGACUUUACUAAUGGAACUAAUGUUGGUAGUCAGCCAACUUUGAGACAUGGAGAUUUUCCUGGAUUAUCCAAGUGAGCCCCAUGUAAUCAUAUGGGCCCUUAAAAGUGCAAGAAGAAAUUAGAACAAUGCAGUAGAAGAAACGUGAAAGAAGAGAUGCUUCGGAGAGAUAAGGCAGAAAAGAGGCAGAGAGAUUUGAAGAAUAAGAGGGAUAUUAUCUUCUGUUACUAGCUUUGAAGGGUUCCAUGAGCUGGGAAAUCUUGGCAGACUCUAGAAACUGGGGAGGCUCCCCACCAAUAGCCAGCUAGGAAUCAGGGACCUAAGUCCUAGAGCACUUCAUUCAUUAUGGAAGUGAAUUCUGGUGACGAUUUGAAAUAAGCCUGGAAACAGAUUCUCCCCUGGAGCCCAGGGGAAUGGAAAUGGAAGAAAUGACGUCCUGCUAACACCUUGCUUUCAACCCAAUGAUGUUCAGAGCAGAGAACCAAGUGAGCCAUCCUGGGCCCAGAUCUGGGACCUACAGAACUGUGAGAUGAUCAAUUUGUGUUGCUUUGAGUCAGCCAAUUAGUGGUAAUUUGUUAAAGUGACAACAGAAAAUUAAUAGACUUCAUGAAUUUCUUUUUAGAACCUAAAUGACUGUUUAGAGAAACUUUAUCAAACUACAGCUCAUAGGCCAAACCCAGGUCACUGCCUGUUUUUGUAUAGCCUGAGAGCUAAGAAAGAUUUUACGUUUUUAAGUGACUAAAAAAAAAAUUAAAAAAUAUUUCGCAGAUCAUGAAAUUCAAAUGUAUCUAUAAAUAAAGUUUUAUUGGA
rnacentral:lncRNA from 1 species